rnacentral:rRNA from 1 species
UACAGAGGGUGCAAGCGUUGUUCGGAAUUAUUGGGCGUAAAGCGCGUGUAGGCGGGCUGGAAAGUUGGGGGUGAAAUCCCGAGGCUCAACCUCGGAACUGCCUCCAAAACUUCCAGCCUGGACUCAAGCAGAGGCAAGUGGAAUUGCGAGUGUAGAGGUGAAAUUCGUAGAUAUUCGCAGGAACACCAGUGGCGAAGGCGACUUGCUGGGCUUGUGGUGACGCUGAGACGCGAAAGCGUGGGGAGCAAACAGG